GUUGAGGUAGCUGGAAUGAGUAGUGUAGCGGUGAAAUGCAUAGAUAUUACUCAGAACACCGAUUGCGAAGGCAGGUUACCAAGUUAUAACUGACGCUGAGGGACGAAAGCGUGGGGAGCGAACAGGAUUAGAUACCCUGGUAGUCCACGCCGUAAACGAUGCUAACUCGUUUUUGGGCUAUAUGGUUCAGAGACUAAGCGAAAGUGAUAAGUUAGCCACCUGGGGAGUACGACCGCAAGGUUGAAACUCAAAGGAAUUGACGGGGGCCCGCACAAGCGGUGGAUCAUGUGGUUUAAUUCGAUGAUACGCGAGGAACCUUACCAAGGCUUAAAUGGGAAUUGAUAGCUGUAGAAAUACGGUUUUCUUCGGACAAUUUUCAAGGUGCUGCAUGGUUGUCGUCAGCUCGUGCCGUGAGGUGUUAGGUUAAGUCCUGCAACGAGCGCAACCCCUGUCACUAGUUGCCAUCAUUAAGUUGGGGACUCUAGUGAGACUGCCUACGCAAGUAGAGAGGAAGGUGGGGAUGACGUCAAAUCAUCACGGCCCUUACGCCUUGGGCCACACACGUGAUACAUUAAGCGGC
rnacentral:rRNA from 1 species